rnacentral:rRNA from 1 species
AUUGAACGCUGGCGGCAUGCCUAACACAUGCAAGUCGCGCGGGCGGUAGCAAUACCGUUAGCGGCGGACGGGUGAGGAACACAUAGGAAUUUGCCUUUAGGUGGGGGAUAGCCCAGGGAAACUUGGAGUAAUACCGCAUGAUGUCGCAAGACCAAAGCAGGGGAUCGCAAGACCUUGCGCCUUUAGAGGAGCCUAUGUCUGAUUAGCUAGUUGGUAGGGUAAUGGCCUACCAAGGCGACGAUCAGUAACUGGUCUGAGAGGACGAUCAGUCACACUGGAACUGAGACACGGUCCAGACUCCUACGGGAGGCAGCAGUGGGGAAUAUUGGACAAUGGGCGCAAGCCUGAUCCAGCAAUGCCGCGUGUGUGAAGAAGGCCUUCGGGUUGUAAAGCACUUUAGGCCGGGAAGAAAAAAUCAGGGCUAAUAUCCUUGAUCUUGACGGUACCGGAAGAAUAAGCACCGGCUAACUCUGUGCCAGCAGCCGCGGUAAUACAGAGGGUGCGAGCGUUAAUCGGAUUUACUGGGCGUAAAGCGUGUGUAGGUGGUUGUUCAAGUCGGUUGUGAAAUCCCUGGGCUUAACCUGGGAACUGCUUCCGAGACUGAGCGACUAGAGUACGGUAGAGGGCGGUGGAAUUUCCGGUGUAGCCGGUGAAAUGCGUAGAUAUCGGAAGGAACACCAAUGGCGAAGGCAG